rnacentral:rRNA from 1 species
AACGAACGCUGGCGGCGCGUCUUAAGCAUGCAAGUCGAGCGAUAAGGUGCAGCAAUGCAUCGGAAAGCGGCGGACUGGUGAGUAACGCGUGGGUGACCUACCUAGAGGAUGGGGAUAGUCGUUAGAAAUAGCGGGUAAUACCGAAUACACUAGUUCAGUCAAGACUGAACUAGUAAAGGAGCUAUGGCUCCGCCUUUAGAUGGGCCCGCGUUCCAUUAGCUAGUUGGUGGGGUAAAGGCCUACCAAGGCAAUGAUGGAUAGCCGGCCUGAGAGGGUGAACGGCCACACUGGGACUGAGAUACGGCCCAGACUCCUACGGGAGGCAGCAGCUAAGAAUAUUCCACAAUGGACGGAAGUCUGAUGGAGCGACGCCGCGUGAACGAAGAAGGCCGAAAGGUUGUAAAGUUCUUUUAUUGCUGAAGAAUAAGUGUGGUAGGGAAUGACCAUAUGAUGACGUUAGGCAAUGAAUAAGCCCCGGCUAAUUACGUGCCAGCAGCCGCGGUAACACGUAAGGGGCGAGCGUUGUUCGGAAUUAUUGGGCGUAAAGGGCGCGUAGGCUGUUAAGUAAGUCUGAUGUGAAAGGCAUGAGCUUAACUCAUGGACUGCAUUGGAAACUGCGUAACUUGAGUCAUGGAGGGGGAGCUGGAAUUCCUGGUGUAGGGGUGAAAUCUGUAGAUAUCAGGAAGAACACCGGUGGCGAAGGCGAACUUCUAGCCAAUGACUGACGCUGAGGCGCGAAAGUGCGGGGAGCAAACAGGAUUAGAUACCCUGGUAGUCCGCACUAUAAACUAUGUACACUAGGUGUUGGGCCGAGCGGUUCAGUGCCGGAGCGAACGCGAUAAGUGUACCGCCUGGGGGAGUAUGCCCGCAAGGGUAAAACUCAAAGGAAUUGACGGGGGGCCCGCACAAGCGGUGGAGCAUGUGGUUUUAAUUCGAUGAUACGCGAGGAACCUUACCUGGGGUUUGACAUGGAGGUGGAAUGGUGCAGAGAUGUAUCAGGGUA